UACGUAGGGUGCAAGCGUUAAUCGGAAUUACUGGGCGUAAGGCGUGCGCAGGCGGUUGUGUAAGUCAGAUGUGAAAUCCCCGGGCUCAACCUGGGAAUUGCAUUUGAGACUGCACGGCUAGAGUGUGUCAGAGGGGGGUAGAAUUCCACGUGUAGCAGUGAAAUGCGUAGAGAUGUGGAGGAAUACCGAUGGCGAAGGCAGCCCCCUGGGAUAACACUGACGCUCAUGCACGAAAGCGUGGGGAGCAAACAGG
rnacentral:rRNA from 1 species